ensembl:lncRNA
CACGUGUGCACACAACCAAGCAGACACGGACUGUAAACACGAGUGAGACAGAAGAAGAUAGUUUUAUACCGGAGAGGAACGUCUGAGCAGCCGUGUUUGUAAUGAUAAACUAGCAAAGCUCUUAAGUCUCACUUAUUGGGCCUGAUGUUAGUCACUGAUGUUCGUGUGUGUGAGCCACGGCAGACUCCACUUCCUCCUGUGCCAUGCUAUUGUUAGCUUCUCAAACACGGGAGCUCUCUGAAUAGAUACUUUGAAACCAUCAGCCACUGGAAAGUGAUGAAGAUGCCAGAAAAACAAAUGAGCUGAGAGUAGAAACUUCAACAAUAAGCCAUUGAUGAAGAUGACAGCCAAACAGAAGAGCAGAGAGCAGAAACUUUUAAUGAAGCACAGGUGAGACGAAACUACAACCAUUACUCUUUUUCUGUCUCUGAAACUACACAACCUUCACAGUCUUAUCUCUUCUUUUUCUGAUGUUUUUGAUGACUAAUGGACUUUUGUUCUUCCUCUAUGGUCCAUCAUGUUCACAAAAGAGCUCUCAGAGCAAUGAUGACGCUGGCAGCCAAACAGAAGUGCAAAGAGCAGACCUUUCCACAUUGGAACAGGAAAAUGUCCCUCAAGACAUGGAUGUUGUUCACUCCCAUGGACUAACGGAAGGGCAGAGUUUCAUCUCCAUUCUCUCCUUUGCACUAAAACACAACACUACUGGUGUAUUAACUGAAGAUCUGCUGACACUUCUAAAGUUACAUUCUGCUGGGACAAGUGCAGUUCCAACAAGCAAGUACUUUUUGGAAAAACCAUUAGCUGGUAUUGUAGAUACAUUUCAACACCAUCACUACUGCAGAGUAUGUACUAAGUACCUUGGCACUUCUCAAUCAGAAGAAGGGACCUUAACAUGUGUGUCAUGUUUGUCAUCCAUCACAGCAAAAGACAGUUUACACGGAGGACAUUUCUUUAUCAGUAUUCCGUUAAAGGAUCAACUUAAAGAUAUUCUUGAAAAUCAGGAAAGAACUUCAGCAUAUUGCUCACCUGUGGAACACCCACAUCAUUCAGAGAAGCAGAAAUGCAGUUGCACCUAG